ACGAAUCAAUUAAAAACUAAUUAUACACUUGCACUAUAACAUUUUCAUGUUUUCUGUGGCUGCCGAUCAUCGUGCAGCAAGAUGUCUUCGAAAAUAAGUUAUAUUUUACUCUUCUGUUGCUUUUAUUUUAUUCGAGCACAUGGAACGAAAGCAAUUGACAUGGACUACUUUUUGAGCUUCCUACGCAACUCUAACUGCUCCACCAAAGCAGGACUACAAUACUGCAAAGAAAUUUGCCAUGGAGUGGCCGUACUGUGUCAUAACGGGGAAUGUUACUGUCAUCAAAGUGUCGUAGAUACUAUAAGCUCGCCCAAUGUAGUGGCAAGUGUAGAUCUGAUGAUAGCGCCGAAAGCACCAAUUCCUCCGAAAAACGAAGUUCAAAUAAAUAUAUCACCCCAAAUUGUCCAAAAAAGCGAUGAAGAUAUACCAGUCCAAAUUUCUUCAUCUCGGAGACAUCAAAUAGCCCACUUCUGCCCAAGUCUUGACGUAGCUAGAGAGUGUAUCAGGAAGUGCAUAGGGCUCGGCAAGGCUGCGUUCUGCGGAAAGGACCACCAAUGUUACUGUGGCCACAAAUACAGUUCCCAGGAUUCACCGGACAAACAAGAUGCAGUGGAAAUCUAUAAGGAGUUCGCAGACAUGUACGCAAAAUACUUUGGAAAUGCUGAAAGAGACACGGCAAGUGAUGAAAAUUACGAUGAGUUCUUAAAAAAGAAAAAAUUGUCGAAUAAGGUUACUCCUCAUGCUUAAGCAUUUGCAUGUAAUAAAUGUAUAUUCAAAAGUC